GACGUAGGGUGCGAGCGUUGUCCGGAUUUAUUGGGCGUAAAGAGCUCGUAGGCGGUUUGUUGCGUCCGCUGUGAAAACCCGGGGCUUAACCCCGAGCCUGCAGUGGAUACGGGCAGACUAGAGGUAGGUAGGGGAGAAUGGAAUUCCCGGUGUAGCGGUGAAAUGCGCAGAUAUCAGGAGGAACACCGGUGGCGAAGGCGGAUCUCUGGGCCUUACCUGACGCUGAGGCGCGAAAGCUAGGGGAGCGAACAGG
rnacentral:rRNA from 1 species